rnacentral:rRNA from 1 species
AGAGUUUGAUCCUGGCUCAGGAUGAACGCUAGCGACAGGCCUAACACAUGCAAGUCGAGGGGCAGCGAAGAGGUAGCAAUACCUUUGUCGGCGACCGGCGCACGGGUGAGUAACACGUAUGCAAUCCACCUGUAACAGGGGGAUAACCCGGAGAAAUCCGGACUAAUACCCCAUAAUAUGGGCGCUCCGCAUGGAGAGCCCAUUAAAGAGAGCAAUUUUGGUUACAGACGAGCAUGCGCUCCAUUAGCCAGUUGGCGGGGUAACGGCCCACCAAAGCGACGAUGGAUAGGGGUUCUGAGAGGAAGGUCCCCCACAUUGGAACUGAGACACGGUCCAAACUCCUACGGGAGGCAGCAGUGAGGAAUAUUGGUCAAUGGUCGGCAGACUGAACCAGCCAAGUCGCGUGAGGGAAGACGGCCCUACGGGUUGUAAACCUCUUUUGUCGGAGAGUAAAGUACGCUACGUGUAGUGUAUUGCAAGUAUCCGAAGAAAAAGCAUCGGCUAACUCCGUGCCAGCAGCCGCGGUAAUACGGAGGAUGCAAGCGUUAUCCGGAUUUAUUGGGUUUAAAGGGUGCGUAGGCGGCACGCCAAGUCAGCGGUGAAAUUUCCGGGCUCAACCCGGAGUGUGCCGUUGAAACUGGCGAGCUAGAGUACACAAGAGGCAGGCGGAAUGCGUGGUGUAGCGGUGAAAUGCAUAGAUAUCACGCAGAACCCCGAUUGCGAAGGCAGCCUGCUAGGGUGAAACAGACGCUGAGGCACGAAAGCGUGGGUAUCGAACAGGAUUAGAUACCCUGGUAGUCCACGCAGUAAACGAUGAAUACUAACUGUUUGCGAUACAAUGUAAGCGGUACAGCGAAAGCGUUAAGUAUUCCACCUGGGGAGUACGCCGGCAACGGUGAAACUCAAAGGAAUUGACGGGGGCCCGCACAAGCGGAGGAACAUGUGGUUUAAUUCGAUGAUACGCGAGGAACCUUACCCGGGCUCAAACGCAGGGGGAAUAUAUAUGAAAGUAUAUAGCUAGCAAUAGUCACCUGCGAGGUGCUGCAUGGUUGUCGUCAGCUCGUGCCGUGAGGUGUCGGCUUAAGUGCCAUAACGAGCGCAACCCCUAUCGACAGUUACUAACGGGUCAAGCCGAGGACUCUGUCGAGACUGCCGGCGCAAGCCGCGAGGAAGGUGGGGAUGACGUCAAAUCAGCACGGCCCUUACGUCCGGGGCGACACACGUGUUACAAUGGCAGGUACAGAAGGCAGCCAGUCAGCAAUGACGCGCGAAUCCCGAAAACCUGUCUCAGUUCGGAUUGGAGUCUGCAACCCGACUCCAUGAAGCUGGAUUCGCUAGUAAUCGCGCAUCAGCCAUGGCGCGGUGAAUACGUUCCCGGGCCUUGUACACACCGCCCGUCAAGCCAUGGAAGCCGGGAGUACCUGAAGCAUGCAACCGCAAGGAGCGUACGAAGGUAAUACCGGUAACUGGGGCUAAGUCCUUUAAAGGGAGCCGUAAGGGCGAAUUCGCGGCCGCUGAGUNCAAUCNGUUUGGAAUGGGCGAUAAUCCCCCCNAUCUUA